AUGGGUAUGGACUUAUCUAGCAACUUCCUUUCACAAGAGAUCCCAAAAGGGCUCACAUCACUUGUUGGACUCAGGUACCUCAACUUGUCAAGAAACCAUCUCUCAGGUGGUAUUCCCAGAGACAUUGGCAAUCUGGCAUUGCUAGAAUCCUUGGACCUUUCGGGAAACCAACUAUCCGGUGAAAUUCCUCCAAGCCUUGCAGAUUUGAAGGCCCUCGGCGCCCUGAACCUCUCAAGCAAUGGUUUAUCGAGGAGGAUACCUACAGGCAGCCAGCUGCAGGCACCCCCAGAUCCUUCAAUAUACAGCAAUAAUCCAGGGUUGUGCGGUUUUCCAUUGCAGGACUGUGUAAACCCGUUUGCAUCAAACCAAAAUCAAAUGAGCCAGGGCAAAGAUAUGGAGACACUCUGGUUGUACUGCUUUGUGGUAGCAGGAGUCAUCUUUGGGUUUUGGCUAUACUGGGGCAUGCUCUUUUGCAACGAGACAUGGAGGUGUGUGUUCUAUCAAUAUGUUGACAACAUGCAAGACAAGGUAAUUACCAAGAAAAUAGCUGCAUAUCGCACCUCCAAGCUAAGGCAUAAAUGA
rnacentral:rRNA from 1 species